rnacentral:rRNA from 1 species
AGACAGGUGCUGCAUGGCUGUCGUCAGCUCGUGUUGUGAAAUGUUGGGUUAAGUCCCGCAACGAGCGCAACCCUUAUCCUUUGUUGCCAGCGGUCCGGCCGGGAACUCAAAGGAGACUGCCAGUGAUAAACUGGAGGAAGGUGGGGAUGACGUCAAGUCAUCAUGGCCCUUACGAGUAGGGCUACACACGUGCUACAAUGGCGCAUACAAAGAGAAGCGACCUCGCGAGAGCAAGCGGACCUCAUAAAGUGCGUCGUAGUCCGGAUUGGAGUCUGCAACUCGACUCCAUGAAGUCGGAAUCGCUAGUAAUCGUGGAUCAGAAUGCCACGGUGAAUACGUUCCCGGGCCUUGUACACACCGCCCGUCACACCAUGGGAGUGGGUUGCAAAAGAAGUAGGUAGCUUAACCUUCGGGAGGGCGCUUACCACUUUGUGAUUCAUGACUGGGGUGAAGUCGUAACAAGGUAACCGUAGGGGAACCUGCGGUU